rnacentral:rRNA from 1 species
CCUACGGGAGGCAGCAGUGGGGAAUAUUGGACAAUGGGCGCAAGCCUGAUCCAGCCAUGCCGCGUGUGUGAAGAAGGCUUUCGGGUUGUAAAGCACUUUCAGCGAGGAAGAAAGCGUGCCGUUUAAUACCCGGUACGGACGACAUCACUCGCAGAAGAAGCACCGGCUAACUCCGUGCCAGCAGCCGCGGUAAUACGGAGGGUGCAAGCGUUAAUCGGAAUUACUGGGCGUAAAGCGCGCGUAGGCGGCGUGUCACGCCGGGUGUGAAAGCCCCGGGCUCAACCUGGGAACGGCAUCCGGAACGGGCAGGCUAGAGUGCAGGAGAGGAAGGUAGAAUUCCCGGUGUAGCGGUGAAAUGCGUAGAGAUCGGGAGGAAUACCAGUGGCGAAGGCGGCCUUCUGGCCUGACACUGACGCUGAGGUGCGAAAGCGUGGGUAGCAAACAGGAUUAGAUACCCCUGGUAGUCCACGCCGUAAACGAUGUCGACUANCCNNUUGGGUCCCUUGANNNACUUAGUGNCGCANUUAACGCGAUAANUCNACCGCCUGNNNANUACGGCCGCANGGUUAAAACUCAAAUGAAUUGACGGGG